AUUAACGCUGGCGGCGUGCCUAACACAUGCAAGUCGAGCGAGAARUCGGAAGUGAAACUUCGGUGAAGCAGAAGAUGGAAAGCGGCAGACGGGUGAGUAACGCGUGAAUAAUCAACCCUGUACAAAGGGAUAGCCUCGGGAAACCGGGAUUAAUACCAUAUGAAGUAUAUUAAUCGCAUGAUAGAUAUAUUAAAACUUUGGUGGUACAGGACGAGUUCGCGUCCCAUUAGCUAGUUGGUGAGAUAAAAGCUUACCAAGGCGACGAUGGGUAGCCGGCCUGAGAGGGUGAACGGCCACACUGGAACUGAGACACGGUCCAGACUCCUACGGGAGGCAKCAGUGGGGAAUAUUGCACAAUGGAGGAAACUCUGAUGCAGCGACGCCGCGUGAGCGAAGAAGGCUUUCGAGUCGUAAAGCUCUGUCCUAAGAGAAGAAGAAGUGACGGUAACUUAGGAGGAAGCCCCGGCUAACUACGUGCCAGCCGCCGCGGUAAUACA
rnacentral:rRNA from 1 species